AAUGAUCAAGCUAAGUUUUCCAUCACACUCCACAUAUAAUUUUAACCAGAAUUAGUUAUAUAUAACAUAUCUGAUAUCAAUAAUACUGAAUUAAUGAAAUAACGAAACUAAUUGUUCAGUGAUAUUAACAAUAGAAUAAUAUAAUAAUUAUUCCCUGUAACACAUCACAGUUCAAAUACAGAAGUAGAAGAAAAAGUCACAGCCAUUUUACUACUAAUUCACAGUUUAUUAAUUAUCAUUAAUUAACAAACUAGAAGUCUAUUCAAUUUUAAAGACAGAUACUAAUCCGAUUUAUAUAUUUCAGUAAAUCCUGAAGAGAGCAUGUUGUAUUGCAAUUACAACUUUCAAUGUUUAGAUUAAAGGAAAGUCACAGUUAUUUUGGUCGAAACAUUAUUCAAUCAGUGCAGUCUUAUAUCCGAAAUCAGACCAUUAAAUACAAUAAUAAUGAUUAUUUAUUAUAACACAUCACAAUGCAGAUGCAAAAUAGAAGAAAGUCACGACUGUAUUAUUAUUAUUUCACAACUUAUUGUUUAUCAUUGACUAAUUAAUUAAAAUCUAUUCAAUUUAAAGUCAGAUACUAAUUUAACUGGUCUAUUUCAGUAAGUUCGAUAUACCUAGUAUUGUUAAUAUUAAAUCAUGUCCACAAGAAGUUCAUCAUACAGCAAAUAACUAUUUAACACCAUAUUCCAAAUUAGAAUAAUAAUAUUGUUUUAUUCAACAGGGUCCCAUUCAGAGUCUAAAGAUGACAUCAGAGCAAUCAUCAUCAAUUUUAAUACAUCCGACUUAACGAAAUACAUAUACCGUAUAAAUAUACACAUAUGUAAAUCUUGGAAUGAAAAGCGACAAUAUCCUCCUCCAGAAGAGCAACAAAUAUGACAGAAGCACUAAUAGGACUUAUCAUUAGAAAGUUUCUUAUACGAUUAUCAAUCCAGACUAAUUGAAGUAAUUAAUGCAUAUCAAUGUCUAUUAUCACAUUAAUAAUAAAGUCACUAAUUAUCAGACCAAUAA